AAAAUCAAAUUAAUUCAAACUUCAAAGUAAAUUUAAUCUAAUAAACAUGAUGAACCAAGCUGUUAUUUUGAAUAUAUUUUUUUUCAUAAUUAUUAUAAUGAUGACAGUUCUUUUUGAACUAGAAGCUACACCUGUAACAUCAACUGAAUCCAACGUGGACUAUAAUGCUUGUGAUGGUCUCUGCCAAGGGGAACCAAGAAAAUUAAAAUAAUAAAUACCUUGAUUGAUUAAUAAAUUGUUAAAAAUUUA